UGGGAAUGCCAUGGGGCAAUCUGCCUCCAUCGCUAAAGCCUCCUCCAGAGGGUGGAUAUCUGCCUUUUCCAUUUGUGGAUUGGGGUUAGGUCUGUCAUGCUACAUCUUAUUAUGCCUAUGCCUGUACUACAAAUCCUUAUUUAUCGUUGUUGCCUGUAUGGUUAAUGUAUUGUCUCAAUAUCUAACUGUCAAUUUGUCAUGGACAUUGGACAAAUGCUAUUUGCUUGUAUGUCACAAUAACUAGAAAGCGUAGAUGAUUUUGUCUGCUCUCUUGUAUCUGUUGUCAGAUUGCAGCAAGACAAUCUUAUUG
rnacentral:misc_RNA from 1 species